rnacentral:piRNA from 1 species
CAGAAAUUCAAGGUCAUCCUCAAGCAUUG